rnacentral:misc_RNA from 1 species
GAUGAAGAACGCAGUAAAAUGCGAUACUUGGUGUGAAUUGCAGAAUCCCGUGAACCAUCGAGUUUUUGAACGCAAGUUGCGCCCGAAGCCAUUAGGCCGAGGGCACGCCUGCCUGGGCGUCACACGUCGUUGCCCCCCCAUCUACUCCUUCGGGAUUGCGGGGGGCGGAUGAUGGCCUCCCGUGCGCCUCGUCGCGCGGUUGGCAUAAAUGCCAAGUCCUCGGCGACGCACGCCACGACAAUCGGUGGUUGCGAAACCUCGGUUGCCCGUCGUGUGCGGUCGUCGCGCAUCGAGGGCUCGAAAAAAUUGCCGGGCUCCGGCUCGGCUUUCAACGCGACCCCAGGUCAGGCGGGGUUACCCGCUGAAUUUAAGCAUAUCAAUAAGCGGAGGA